rnacentral:rRNA from 1 species
AGUGAACGCUGGCGGUAGGCCUAACACAUGCAAGUCGAACGGCAGCACAGUAAGAGCUUGCUCUUACGGGUGGCGAGUGGCGGACGGGUGAGGAAUACAUCGGAAUCUACUUUUUCGUGGGGGAUAACGUAGGGAAACUUACGCUAAUACCGCAUACGACCUACGGGUGAAAGCAGGGGAUCUUCGGACCUUGCGCGAUUGAAUGAGCCGAUGUCGAAUUAGCUAGUUGGCGGGGUAAAGGCCCACCAAGGCGACGAUCCGUAGCUGGUCUGAGAGGAUGAUCAGCCACACUGGAACUGAGACACGGUCCAGACUCCUACGGGAGGCAGCAGUGGGGAAUAUUGGAUAAUGGGCGCAAGCCUGAUCCAGCCAUACCGCGUGGGUGAAGAAGGCCUUCGGGUUGUAAAGCCCUUUUGUUGGGAAAGAAAAGCAGCAGGUUAAUACCCCGCUGUUCUGACGGUACCCAAAGAAUAAGCACCGGCUAACUUCGUG